UACGUAGGGGGCAAGCGUUGUCCGGAAUUAUUGGGCGUAAAGCGCGCGCAGGCGGUCAUGUAAGUCUGGUGUUUAAUCCCGGGGCUCAACCCCCGGAUCGCACUGGAAACUGUGUGACUUGAGUGCAGAAGAGGAGAGUGGAAUUCCACGUGUAGCGGUGAAAUGCGUAGAGAUGUGGAGGAACACCAGUGGCGAAGGCGACUCUCUGGGCUGUAACUGACGCUGAGGCGCGAAAGCGUGGGGAGCAAACAGG
rnacentral:rRNA from 1 species